rnacentral:tRNA from 1 species
GUGGCUGUAGCUCAGUCGGUUAGAGCAUCAGAUUGUGGUUCUGAGGGUCGCCGGUUUCGAGCCCGGUUAGCCACC